rnacentral:lncRNA from 1 species
GCAUCCCUGAUUCUGAUACCAGCAUUUCAGCGUUGACCUUGAAUGAGAGUUUUAAGAUGCCUACCAGCAAGACCUCCCAAGAACCUUUGGCCUACACCUUCCUCCAAAUCUUACGGCACAGAAGAAAUUUUGCAAGUCCAGCAAAAUAUCAAGGAAGAUCAGAUAGAUGGAUGACCUGGCUCAUUCAGAGAAUUGAAAAAUUGGCUGACAUCCUUGGGACAGAAAUGGGACAAACAUGAUACCAGAAGACCAAGAAGUGCCAGAGUGAGCUGGCAAAUAGACAUAAAAUGGAUGUUUGCAAAGGUGGUGUGAUAAAAGCUCUGGACAGAUUCUGAUUUCUUGA